rnacentral:rRNA from 1 species
UACGUAGGGACCAAGCGUUGUUCGGAUUUACUGGGCGUAAAGGGCGCGUAGGCGGCAAAUUAAGUCAGCUGUGAAAUCUCCGAGCUUAACUCGGAACUGUCAGCUGAUACUGAUGUGCUAGAGUGCGGAAGGGCAAUCGGAAUUCUUGGUGUAGCGGUGAAAUGCGCAGAUAUCAGGAAGAACACCCGUGGCUAAGGCGGCUCGCUGGGACGGUACUGACGCUGAGACGCGAAAGCGUGGGGAGCAAACAGG